rnacentral:lncRNA from 1 species
AGAGGUUGUUGAAUGACAAUAGUGCUUGUGGAUUAUAUCAUUUACAAUCUGGAUUAAGAAAUGGAUCAACAGCAAUGACUUCUGGUUGAGUAGCAACUUGUAGCACUAUUAAAAAAAAUAAAAGUAGUAUUUGACAUGAUAGAUUGUGUCAUUCCAGAGAUAGUAUGAUAUCUAAUCUAGCAAAAACUUGUAAUUUUGUAAUAAAUAAGGAUGAUGUAUAUCAAUGUAAUGUCAAUAAAAUACAUAAAAUACAAUUUAAAAGAAGAUAAUUCUUUUGUGAUUCUCACCCCUCUAUAUUCUACAUAUAGAUGUUUGGAGACCAACCCCAGUAACGUUUAUAGAUGAAUUUAAAUAUUAUUUUAUCAUAGUUGAUGAAUUCAGUAUCCACAUAGCUAGCUAGGUUUAUGUGGAUUUAUCUUCUAAAAUAUAAAAGUAAAGUUUUUAAUCAUUUUCUGAAAAUUUAUCAAAUAAAAGAAUUAAAAUAAUUCAAUUCGAUUGUGGAGGUGAAUUAAUUUAAAAAUAAAAAAUUCUUUCUUGUUGACGAUGCGAUCUCAACGAGAUUCGUGUCACCACCAACAUUCUUAGAAACUCAUUGGCUGUUUAUACUGGGAAAAUUUUCUCAUAAUAUUAUCAAAAAAAUUCAGAAAUAUGACUGUCAGAUCAAGGUAGAAAUUCUUCAGCUUAUAAUUGUCUUUCAUUGAUUCCUACUUCUUUAUUCAGCAAGCAAUUCUGGUUUCUAAUAAUCUGUAAACAAAACAGACAAAGCAAAGCAAAGUAAAGUAAAGCAAAACAAAAUAAAAUUAGUUUAUUAAUAAAAUAGCUAAUAUCUUACCUUUAUAGAUUGAAAUUCAUUCUGAGUUUCCUGCACAGAUUUAAAAAUAUAUCAUAAGUCACAACUUUUGUAAAAAUAUAUGCUAUUUGUUAAGCAAACAUAUACAUUAUAAUUUCAGAUGACCAUUAGUGAUAAGAUCUCAGGUAAAAUAUAUAUCAGUUUCUAUGUGUUUUGACUUUUGUUUGAUUACUGAGUUUGAUGCCAUAAAAAUGGCUGAAUUAUUGUCAGAUAAAAUUUGAGGAAUAUGAUCUUUAAUUAUUCCAAGAUCAUUACAAAUAAAAUCAGUUCACCUUAGUUCAGUCGCUAAUGAAACUAGAACUCUAUACUCUGCUUCCACACUGGAUCUAGAAACAGUUGUUUGUUUCUUCGAAGUCCAGGUAAUUAGAUCACCUUCAAUAAAAAUACAAAGACCUGUGGUUGAUUUCCUAUUAUCUAUGUCCCCUGCAAAAUCAGAAUCUGAAUAUCCUACUAUCAUAUGCAAUUUUUGUAUAUUUUAAAAAAAAUGUAAUCCAUGAUUUAAAGUGCCUUUAAUGUAUCUUAAUAUUCUUUUGACUGCAACUAAAUGUGUUGUUUUAGGUUCUUGAACAGAUUGAGAAACUUGAUUAAUUGCACAUGUCAAAUCAGGUCUUGUAUGUGUAAUAUAUUGUAAAGACUAAGGAUGAGAACAGGACGGUUCGCGGGCGGGCAUCUCCGCCCCGGUCUCAAAAAACGGGGUGCGUACCGGGGCAGCUGGUCAGGUACUCUGAUCCCUUGCCCCGAGACCCGUCCCUAAUUACCUACAAAAUAAAAAAAUUUAUAAAAUACUUUAUAAUUCUAUAUAAACCUAAAAAAUGAAGUAAUGAAUAAUUAAAAUUUAUAAGUUAUAAGAAAAAAAUUAACAACAAUUAUAAAAUCUGUAUUGCAAGUAAUGCGAUACAGAUGCUCCCUAGAUCCUCUCGAGGAUAAAGAAAAAUAGCCAACAUAAUGCAAAAAGCUCAGGCCAACGGCCCCGUCAAAUGGAUGCUGAAAAUGUCUGCCAGCCAACCAAAAAGGGAUACUUGAUUUGUAUAUAAUAAACCCCAGAAUUUGUAUCAAAAAAAUAGUAAGCAUUAUCCCAGAUCGAAUUCCAAUUGGGAUAUACAAACUACCAUGAUCUCUUUGUUUAACUCCAGAAAGGGCUAAAGAUAAGAAUAAGAAAUCUGGUAGGAACUUUCUUAUAUUUUAUUAUAUAUAAAAAGAAUUUAAAAAAUUAAGAAAUGCGACCGAAUCUCCGAUUUGGGCAGACCUGCGAAAUCGCGCUCAAGACUUGUGAAAUCAGAAAUCACAGAGGUCAGAAACGUAUGCAGAAUCACGACAAGAAUGCAGAAAUCCAAAUCAAGAAUCGACACCAAGAAGUCAUAGUCGAUGCCAAGAAAUCAACGCCGAAAUCGCCUCCGGAAAAUCAGAAUCGAUGACAAGAAGAUCGCAAAUCGCGUAUGUGAAAAAAAAAUUACCCAAAGUAAUUUGACGCAAAAAAGUAAAACUUGUCAGAGAAUAGAUACUGAAAAAAGAGCGGAAGGAAAUAAUUUAUUUUUUUCAACAAUAAUCAAAUCAGUUUGGGAAAAAGGCAAACGUGAUUUGGAGGAGAAAAAAAUUUAUUGAGGAGUAAAUUGCAAAUGAUACCAUGUCAGAUAAGGUAGAUUAACAAAAAAAAUACUGAAAUUAUAUUAACCUCAAAAG